rnacentral:lncRNA from 1 species
AGAAAGAGAAUAAGCAGGGUUGUUAUACAUUGAAAAACACACAUAACCAGAUUGGUCUCUGUCUGUUUUUAUUUCCAUGUUUUACAUUUUCCCUUCAUAUUGCAAUGCAACAAAUAGAUUGGAUUGUAUUCUGUUUUUGUCACCACUCUGUGUUCUGUUUAGCUUGGUGCCAUUUCCCCCCUCUGUUUCUCUCAUGAUUUAAUCCUGUCCGUUUCCCCCUUCUCUUUAUCUCUGCUGACUCCUCCCUUCUCUUUAUCUCUGCUGACUCCUCCCCUUUCGUUAUCUCUGCUGACUCCUCCCUUCAUUUCCCUCUCCCUCCGCUCUCUGACACACUCAAACACGCACACAUGCCCUCCUCCCCCAUCGCUGCAGUGUCUCAACUGCCUUGGAGCAAACCAGAGAGGAAAUAGAACAGACAAUAAUAAGAGAGACGAGAAAGAGGGGGAUAGAAAGAGAGAGAGUAUGAGUGGAAGAGAGAGUGUGUUAUAGGAGAAUGUUGGACUAAGAGUGGAUUGCACACUGCUUAUCUCUCCCAUGCGAGUGUUUGUCUGCAGUAUCCCUGGUGAACGGAACCUGGACGUUGAAACGGUGAAGGAGUAUGAGGUUAUUGGAGAGACAGAGCGUACAGUGGAGAAGGAGGUUUUAAAGAAGGAAAUUAUGAUUUCAACAAGGAUUGGAUCCCCAAAGACAAAGCUUGGAGGACCUUCCACUGGUGGCGAAGUGUUUACUUUGUUUGUUUUGGGUUUUGUAUAUCAAGAAUGCUGCCAAAGCCUGCUAGUAAUAAACCGUUUUAACCCUUCCCUUGGACUGGUGUAGUGUGUUUGUAUGUGUAAACCGAAACUGCUACAGUACAAUACAUCUGCAUGUAACCAUUUUUACCAGAUAGACCAACAUUGUUUAUAUAGACAGUAAAAAUGACAGGACCUAAAAUGUAUUUCCUUUCAUAAUAUCAAGGAAACCUGAUUUAAUAACACUGUCAGCAAAAAACAUUGUGUCCUGUCUGUCAAGUCAUUUUCAAACCAAUUACA